UUUAAAUGUAAAAUUAAUAUACUAAAGUAGUAUUAGUUAUGUUCUUGAAAUUUAAAGAUUUUGGCGGUAUUUUAGUCUAUUUAGAGGAACCUGUUCUAUAAUUGAUAAUCCACGAUUAAUUUUACUUAAUUUAUAUAAAUUUGUAUACCGUCGUUAUAAGAAGAUUUUAAAAGAAUUUAAAUUUUUAAUAUUUUAUAUAAAAAAAUAUAUCAGAUCAAGGUGCAGUUAAUAAUUAAGAAGAAAUGGGUUACAAUAAAUUUAUUUAUGUACGGAUUAGGACAAGAAUUUUGGUUUUAUGAAGGUGGAUUUAAUAGUAAUAAUAAUUAAUUUAAAUUUUAUGAUUUUAGCUCUAAAAUAUG
rnacentral:rRNA from 1 species